CUGGCGGCUAGGGUUUAGUAACUGUGGGCGCGCUGGGUUAUCUCAAUUUCCAUCAGGCCUCAGCUGAAAGCUCAUCUGCCAAAACACAUCAGCACUCAUGUAAAAUAAAAGGAGUAGGGAGGUGACUUUCUACACAAUACUGUACAGUGUUUGGCUUCCAGUUUCCCUCUUGUGUGUAACUAUUCUAGCACUUUAGGUUUUCUGAAGCAUUCCUUUAGGACUUAAAGGACAUCAUUGAAAUGUUGCUUUCCAUAGUCUGCAGGAUCCAUUUGAAGCUCUCGUUCUUCAUCAUCUGUGCCCUAUCCUGCCACUAUCAUCUAGAGAAUGCCAGAAUGAGACAAGAAAUGUUAAAUGGCAACACUCAGCUCACUUUAGAGCCAUGCUGCGGAUCAACAGGGGAUUCAUUUUCAUCAAAGAAUCGGCCUGUGAAGUAGGUAGAGGAUUAAUUCAAGAGUAAAGAGAGAAGAAAAGAAGGAAUCUAUACGGAAGGCAGACCAGAAAGUAAACAAGUGAAAGCUGGCAACUUUUGGGGUACUGGAUAUAAAAGGAUACAUUUUGUGAAGGUUAUCCAAGACAAAAGUAUAUAAGAGGGAAGACUCUGAAAAUAUGUAAUUUUUAUUAAGAA
ensembl:lncRNA CTDSPL2-DT CTDSPL2 divergent transcript